rnacentral:ncRNA from 21 species
UUGACCUCAAAUCAGGUAGGACUACCC